GACGAACGCUGGCGGCGUGCUUAACACAUGCAAGUCGAGCGGUAAGGCUCCUUCGGGAGUACACGAGCGGCGAACGGGUGAGUAACACGUGAGCAAUCUGCCCAUCACUUUGGGAUAACUCCGGGAAACCGGUGCUAAUACCGAAUACGACCACUUCAGGCAUCUGACGGUGGUGGAAAGUUCCGGCGGUGAUGGAUGAGCUCGCGGCCUAUCAGCUUGUUGGUGGGGUAAUGGCCUACCAAGGCUUCGACGGGUAGCCGGCCUGAGAGGGUGACCGGCCACACUGGGACUGAGACACGGCCCAGACUCCUACGGGAGGCAGCAGUGGGGAAUAUUGGACAAUGGGCGAAAGCCUGAUCCAGCAACGCCGCGUGAGGGAUGACGGCCUUCGGGUUGUAAACCUCUUUCAGCGCCGACGAAGCGAAAGUGACGGUAGGCGCAGAAGAAGCACCGGCCAACUACGUGCCAGCCGCCGCGGUAA
rnacentral:rRNA from 1 species